CCAAGGGUACUCUGGUUACAAUAAUUUUAGUUAUGAUGCCUCAAACUACAGGACAAACUAUACAGGAGGACUGACUGAGGAGGAACAAUUAGAAGCAGCAAUUCGGGCAAGUCUAAACGACUGUGGGGCCUACGGUAAUGGCAGAAGACCAUACACCGUUAGGAGUGAAGGACGACUGAGCGAAGAGGAAAUGAGGCAGAAAAGAAUUUAUCGAUUUACAAGAUGAUUAUUGGCUGAAUCCUUUCCAUCCGCCACUGUUAGCCCAUUAAUAGUUGCAUCUUGUCAGUAUUUGCACAGUUCUUGCGCAUUUUCAUGUAAAAUCCAUUUUGCAAUCAAGAUUGCAGGUUUCUGCCAUGUUUAUUCCAUGUUCUUACUUUAGAUAUCAUAUAACCCACCUUUAUAAUUUCUUCAAAAAUUUUGAGUUUGGUUUGACACUGGUGGAAUGUUGGCCAAGAAGUGCAAAGUUGAAAUCAUAACCUUAACUAGUGCAUAUACAGUGAAGGUGGGAGAACGGGCUGAACACUUUGUACCAUGACUGGGUUUAGCAUUUAAAAUGAGUUGCUAGGCUAGCUGGUGGAGGUGAGCAUCCUAGCUGCACAGAAACAGUUGGAUGAGUGAGCUAAAUUGGACCAAAUGGUCUUCCUCAUCCAGCACUAUCUUGUUACUGGCAUCAAUGGUAUUUGAAGGAAUCACAGGAUUGCUUCCAGCAUGCCAACCUAGCUGGGAGGCCACAAUCCAAGGCAGUGAGGUGCAUUGAUUAGAUCUGUGUACUGAUUCUCUGAUGCAUAACUUUCUGCUGACAACACAUGAUCUCCACACAAUUUCCAAUGUGUCUUCCCAACCUGGACAGUAAUGAAAGGCUUGUUUUUUUAAUAGCACUUCUACACUUUGUCAGAAAUAUCUCAAGACUUUCAUAUGAAGAGUACUACUUAAGCGCAGUGGUUAUUUUAUCAUCCACUGCUCAACUGCUUCAUUAAGUUGGCAAGAAAAGGAACUUUAAAAGCCAAUAAAGCCUUCGAUAUGGUAAAAUAAAUAAGUAAUUCUUGUACUAAAUGAUUUUAUUUGUCUUUAUUUAGAAUUCAGUGUUGCUGCACUCCAGUGACAGGCUUCAAUUUCUACAAUGGCAGUGUUUAUGCUGUAAUGGUUAAUCUAGAAUGGGGCACAGGAGAUAGAUCCACGCUGCCUACAAAAGUAAAUUCAAGAAAUCCCAUAUUUAGAUAGCAAAAAGUUAAGCCAAGAGUAUAGUGGAAUGUUUUAUUUGUGAACAUUUAAUGUAUAGCAGUUAGUGUUCUUUAAAGUCAACCAUGUAACUUGGUAAUUGUUGCAUUUAGAAUGAAUUACAACAAAAAUGUUUUUCUUUGCCUUUACUGGAUGAAUGAUGAGGUAGACUGCAGAGUAUGAAAUCAAGAUCACAAUGGAGGGUGGUGUGGUGGUAGUGAGGAACAUUACAGUGUAGCUUGAAAAAUAAUCAACAAUAAUUUGCCUGUUAAAUCAGUUUAAUGUAUGGGUGGUUAAGGUUUAGGUGAAUGACCGUUGUUGGUAACUGGACUCAUGAAAAGUGAAUCUAUUUACUCACACUGUUUCUACAAAUGGAUUUCAUCCUAUUCAACCACUGUUUUGAGACUUUAUGACAAUACACACAAGUCCAAAAUCAAAAUAUAAUCAUGCAUUUCAUGUUCAUCAUUCUAGAACUAGCUGAGUAAAUGGAAUGGUGUGUGAUUUGCUGUAUUAUUUAAAAAUAACUUCUUUUUUCAAAAUAGUUACCUCUUUAUGCUGAUGAUUGUUUUGCUCCAUAGAUUAUGUGCAAACAGUGCAAAAGGCUUGGCUUUAUAUGUUUGAUUUCCUUUAUUGCUGCUCCCCAUUCAUAUCAGAAUUGUGUUUGAAAAUAUGAAUCAUAAGUUUUUAGAUCUGGUUACAUCACUAGAAACCAAUUGAUUUUAGUUUUUCAAAGCAACCUUUCAUGUGGGUAGGAAAAGUUCUCUAAUUAUCUUUUCAAUGUUACAUGAUGUGAGCCUUAUGAAUCCUAGCUUUUUGAUUAUUACACUUGCAUUCAAUAAACACUGUGUACUUAUUAAUGUGCCUUGCAAAUGUAGGUCAGGGAAAAGAACAGUUCGAAUGAAACUCAUCCAAACUUAAUGGAGCUGGAGCACGAGAGUCAGAGGGUUUCCUUCUCUGACCACAUCUGAGCAGCAAAAUUACAGAGGCACUGCCAAGUUUCCUGAUUUAGAAAUGUCUUUCUUUUCAAUUUGAGAUUAUUUGAUUUCAGAGUCUUAAAAUGAGUUUCUAAUAUAACCAACAUUGAAUAAUUAUUUCACUUUUGUAUUUGUACAAAGAAAAAUAAAAAUAUUACUCUUUCUA